UACGAAGGGGGCUAGCGUUGCUCGGAAUCACUGGGCGUAAAGCGCACGUAGGCGGAUUGUUAAGUCAGGGGUGAAAUCCUGGAGCUCAACUCCAGAACUGCCUUUGAUACUGGCGAUCUUGAGUCCGGGAGAGGUGAGUGGAACUGCGAGUGUAGAGGUGAAAUUCGUAGAUAUUAGGAAGAACACCGGUGGCGAAGGCGGCCCACUGGAUCGGUACUGACGCUGAGGUGCGAAAGCGUGGGGAGCAAACAGG
rnacentral:rRNA from 1 species